rnacentral:rRNA from 1 species
AUUGAACGCUGGCGGCAGGCCUAACACAUGCAAGUCGAACGGCAGCACGGGAGCAAUCCUGGUGGCGAGUGGCGAGCGGGUGAGUAAUAUAUCGGAACGUGCCCAGUCGUGGGGGAUAACGCAGCGAAAGCUGUGCUAAUACCGCAUACGAUCUACGGAUGAAAGCGGGGGAUCGCAAGACCUCGCGCGAUUGGAGCGGCCGAUAUCAGAUUAGCUAGUUGGUGGGGGAAAGGCCAACAAAGGCGACGAUCUGUAGCUGGUCUGAGAGGACGACCAGCCACACUGGAAAUGUGACACUGUCCAGGCUCCUACGGGAGGCAGCAGUGGGGAAUUUUGGACAAUGGGCGCAAGCCUGAUCCAGCAAUGCCGCGUGCAGGAUGAAGGCCUUCGGGUUGUAAACUGCUUUUGUACGGAACGAAACGGCCCUUUCUAAUACAGGGGGCUAAUGACGGUACCGUAAGAAUAAGCACCGGCUAACUACGUGCCAGCAGCCGCCGUAAAAC